UACGUAGGGGGCAAGCGUUAUCCGGAUUUACUGGGUGUAAAGGGAGCGUAGACGGCAGCGCAAGUCUGGAGUGAAAUCCCAUGGCUUAACCAUGGAACUGCUUUGGAAACUGUGCAGCUGGAGUGCAGGAGAGGUAAGCGGAAUUCCUAGUGUAGCGGUGAAAUGCGUAGAUAUUAGGAGGAACACCAGUGGCGAAGGCGGCUUACUGGACUGUAACUGACGUUGAGGCUCGAAAGCGUGGGGAGCAAACAGG
rnacentral:rRNA from 1 species